rnacentral:rRNA from 1 species
GACGUAGGGCGCGAGCGUUGUCCGGAGUUAUUGGGCGUAAAGGGCUCGUAGGCGGUCUGUCACGUCGGGAGUGGAAACUCAGGGCUUAACCCUGAGCCUGCUUCCGAUACGGGCUGACUAGAGGUAUGCAGGGGAGAACGGAAUUCCUGGUGUAGCGGUGAAAUGCGCAGAUAUCAGGAGGAACACCGGUGGCGAAGGCGGUUCUCUGGGCAUUACCUGACGCUGAGGAGCGAAAGUGUGGGGAGCGAACAGG